rnacentral:rRNA from 1 species
CAGCGGCCCUAGUGGUGAUCGUUAUUAUUGGGCCUAAAGCGUCCGUAGCCGGUUCGGUAAAUCUCUGGGUAAAUCGUUGGGCUUAACUCAACGAAUUCUGGGGAGACUGCCGAACUUGGGACCGGGAGAGGUCGGAGGUACUCCAGGGGUAGGGGUGAAAUCCUGUAAUCCUUGGGGGACCACCGGUGGCGAAAGCGUCCGACCAGAACGGGUCCGACGGUAAGGGACGAAGCCCUGGGGCGCGAACCGGAUUAGAUACCCGAGUAGUCC